rnacentral:lncRNA from 1 species
AUUGCCAUAGCAUUCCUUAUGCUCAUUGAACGAAAGAUCUUAGGCUAUGUACAAAUACGCAAAAGACCCCACACUGUAGGGACUACUUCAGCCCUUUGCAGAUGCAAUAAAACUUUGUAUUAAAGAACGCUGUGACUUUUAGCAUCCACUAUUCCCCUAUACGUUAUUACUCCAACCCUAGCCUUAUCUAAUCCCCUCCUUAUAUGAAUCCCUUUCCCCAUACCAUAUCCUCUAACUAAUCUUAACAUAGGUCUCUUAUUUAUACUAGCCACAUCAAGCCUAGCUGUCUACUCUAUCUUAUGACCAAGAUGAGCAUCCAAUUCGAAAUAUGCACUAAUUGGUACACUAUGAGCAGCAGCCCAAACAAUUUCAUAUGAAGUUACCCUAGCUAUUAUCCUCCUAUCAGUUCUGUUAAUAAGUGGUUCAUUCAAUUUAUCUAUACUCAUCCCAAGAGUUUAUUCUGACUACUCCUACCAUCGUGACCUCUAACCAUAUGAUUUAUUUCCAUGCUAGCAGAAACUAACAGAGUCCCAUCUGACUUGACAGAAGGGGAAUCAGAAUUCGUUCCAGGCUUUAAUGUGGAAUAUGCUGCAGGUCCAUUUGCCCUAUUCUUUAUGUGGCAUAUAUAAAUAUUAUUAUAAUAAAUGCCCUAAGCACUAUUAUCUUCCUAGGAGCAUUAUAUGAUAUUCAUACACCAGAACUCUAUACUAUAAUUUUCAUCACCAAAACCCUCCUUUUAACAACCUUAUUUUUAUGACUUCAAGAGUCAUACCCUUGAUUCUGUUACGAUCAACUUGUACAUCUUCUAUGAAAAAAUGUCUUAGCAUUCACACUAGUGCUUUGCAGAUGACACAUCUCUAUGCCUGUCCUAAUAUCUAGUACCCCACCUCGAACAUAA